rnacentral:rRNA from 2 species
UACGUAGGUGGCAAGCGUUGUCCGGAUUUAUUGGGCGUAAAGCGAGCGCAGGCGGUCUUUUAAGUCUGAUGUGAAAGCCCCCGGCUUAACCGGGGAGGGUCAUUGGAAACUGGGAGACUUGAGUGCAGAAGAGGAAAGCGGAAUUCCAUGUGUAGCGGUGAAAUGCGUAGAUAUAUGGAGGAACACCAGUGGCGAAGGCGGCUUUCUGGUCUGUAACUGACGCUGAGGCUCGAAAGCGUGGGGAGCAAAC